GAAAACCAGCCAGUGGAUCAGUGGAGAAGGCAAGUGGACGGAUGUCUCGUCGGCUCCCGUGUUGGAGCCCACAGCAAUUAAAGACAUCCAUCAGAUUAUGAACGUGGUAUCGGGAAGCCGUGGGACCCAGAACGUGACCAGGGUAACCACGACAACCGCAGGGAAACACACAGAUUCCUCUUGUGAUAUUCACUUUAACUGUGUGUGCGAUGAGACACAGGACGUCAGAGGUGAUUAAAUAGUUGCAUUUAUUUCACUUUGAUUGUCGGGAGUUAUUAUCCGUGUGCUGAUGCAAACUUUCUCUCCGUUUCACCUGUUAGUUUCCAUUUCCAUCAAGGAAAACAAAAGAUAAAAAGAAGUGCUGUGCUCAACACUCUCAGAUUGCAUUUGAACUCACGGCCAUUCUUGAGCAGAGUGAUCCGUGUGCUUGGCAAUGCUUCGAAAAUACAAACCUAAAAUUCUCCAGAAAUACUGCAGCUGUGCCGAGUGAAAUUAGGUUUAGGAGUGCAUGUGGUUUUGAAAAAGUCCUGUAGUUAUUGAGGACAAUAGGAUCUUUUGAGCAGGAUCGUUUUGGGUUUUUCUAAAACCACAUGAAAAGAGAGCUGUUGAUGAACAGGUCACAUUGUUGGCAGGAUAUGAGUGAGUCUGUUUCUGUUGUAUUUUUCAGUUUUGGAUCAUUAAAUGUUUUAGCUUGUUUCAGCUCAUUUACUUCAAAGCACUGUAUACUUCCUGUAACACGCUGACCAUGAUAAAUCUGUUUUUCCCCACUAUUCAGACGGUCACUGGUUUUCCAAUCACUUCAUGUCAUCAAUAUAUAAAACUUGCUUAAGAGAGCCAAUCCAUCACAAUGACCAUACAGUCACCUUUGUUAAGUUCUGUGUGGUUAUACACUGGGAAAGCAUGGAUUGUUUAUUUGUGGAAGCGGCUUCAGAGUCGACCCUUUAUAAAGAGUGGCGUAAAGAAACGUGCAGGUAAAGUCAUUUUGGAAUUUAUUUUCAAAGUUGAGGACCAUUCCUAGUGAGUUAACAUUAAGAUAACGUACUCUGAUUUAAUUUUCGUCCCAAAUUGUCUGUACCUGAAGAAAUGGUCGUAGAAACAAAGCAGCAUGAUUGUAACUAUCGUAACUUAUUAUUUUCAUCAAUAAAUAUCAGUUAAGUGUUAA